AGUGGCGCACGGGUGAGUAACACGUGGGAACAUACCUUAUAGUACGGAAUAACUGCGGGAAACUGUAGCUAAUACCGUAUAUUCCAGUAAUGGGAAAGAUUUAUCGCUAUAAGAUUGGCCCGCGCAAGAUUAGCUUGUUGGUGAGGUAAAAGCUCACCAAGGCUUCGAUCUUUAGCUGGUUUGAGAGGAUGAUCAGCCACACUGGGACUGAGACACGGCCCAGACUCCUACGGGAGGCAGCAGUAGGGAAUAUUGGACAAUGGGGGAAACCCUGAUCCAGCAAUGCAGCGUGAGUGACGAAGGCCUUAGGGUUGUAAAACUCUUUCAUCGGUGAGGAUAAUGACAGUAGCCGAAGAAGAAGGACCGGCUAAUUCCGUGCCAGCAGCCGCGGUAAUACGGAAGGUCCUAGCGUUGUUCGGAAUUACUGGGCGUAAAGCGCAUGUAGGCGGAACAAAAAGUUAGAAGUGAAAUCCCUGGGCUCAACCUAGGAAUUGCUUUUAAAACUUUUGUUCUGGAAUUCAGGAGAGGAAAAUGGAAUUUCCAGUGUAGAGGUGAAAUUCGUAGAUAUUGGAAGGAACACCAGUGGCGAAGGCGAUUUUCUGGACUGAUAUUGACGCUGAGAUGCGAAGGCAUGGGUAGCAAACGGGAUUAGAUACCCCGGUAGUCCAUGCAGUANACGAUGGGUGCUAGUCGUCGGACUUUUGUUCGGUGUCGUAGCUAACGCGUUAAGCACCCCGCCUGGGGAGUAC
rnacentral:rRNA from 1 species